AAGGUGAGUACUGUAUUUGCUUGAUUAAACGCCCGGGCGUUUAUUUCCUAAGAGAAGUCUGUAGAGAGGAGAGGGCAGAGGGCGUUUAAACGAGAUGGGCGAAACGGGCGGUUAUUGAACAUCCGGUAGUGGGUGUAGAUUAAUGUGAGGGCGUUUAUUUGAACACGUGGCUAACAAACUGAAGUAUGGCUAGCUAUUCAGUUAGCAGUACUUUGAAUCCUUCUUCCCUACAGAGGCCUACAGAGGUCACACACCGUAAGUAUUGCUCUACCUGGCUCCAUAGUACACAUGUAUCUAUGCUGCCAUGCUUCCCACUAGUUCCACGUGUCUACCACCCACAGUGCCACGCCCAUACAUGGGCGUUUAUUGAGCUUUUACCUGGGCAGCACAGAGGAAAACCCUAGGUUGUAUAUAGCCAUUCAUUAUGUCGUUAUUUUGAGGGUUACACUCCACUCGUAAUUAGGGUUAGGACUGGCAAGGAUCCUGUGGCUCGCACACUUUUCUCCUCGUCUUUAUACAACCUCCCUGAUGAGUUCAGUAUCCAGGAAGAACUGUCAUUUGGAGCGUCUGGACCAACAUGGAGGGAGCUGGCUGAUCAUCUCAGUAAGAUCGGAGAGAGGGGAACAAGUAGCGAAGGAACUCGUGACCAGCUACAAAAUCGGUAUUAUGUGACUGAGGGUGUGAGGCUCUACUCAGGAGACCUGGAGGGUGGUCACACAGACCAGGAGAGUGCAGCCAGCACAUUAACAAGUCUGAGAGUGUGAUGGUUCUACUCUCAGGAGACCUGGAGGGUGGUCACACAGACCAGGAGAGUGCAGCCAGCACAUUAACAAGUGAGUGGGUGAUCGCGUUGCAGUGAGGGCGUCUGCUGUUUAAUUGUUUGAAUGUGGCAUUACUUUGAGUGCGUGUUUUAAAUACUGUACCACCCGGACCGGACGUACUCGUAUGGUCCUUUGUUCAUUGUUACUAACCCUCCCCUCCGGUCUGAGAGUGUGAUGGCUCUACUCUCAGGAGACCUGGAGGGUGGUCACACAGACCAGGAGAGUGCAGCCAGCACAUUAACAAAUAGAAGAGGAAGAGGGAUUGGAAACGGAAGUACCCUCGUGAGGCAGCUCCAAUUGUUUGGUACUACUGGGCAAGCUCGCUGUUUAUUUCCUCAUCUUUUACAACGUCCCCGAGGAGUCCAGUAUCUGGAGCUGUCGUUUGGAGCCUUGAUCAGCCCCUCAAAUUUGCCAUUUUGUCCGGAUUUGCGAGGUUUCGGAUUAAAGGGGUCCGGAUUAGCGAGGUUCUAUACCUAAAUCAAAUUAUCAGAGGCUUAACUAGCGAAGACUCGACUAGCGAAGCUCAACUAGCAAAAGCUCAACUACAUGUAUAUAGCGAAGCUCAAGUGCAGAACACCAAGUUGAGAACACUAAAUAGCGAAGCUCAAUUUCAGAACACCAAGUUGAGAACACAACUGCUAAUUGACCUUCAGGGCCAUGCACCGUAUCCACUCCUCGUGGCCAUCUAAUUCACGCUCGGUUGGGAAUACUACACGACGAGCCAUGGCCUGCACCCAUCCCUUCAAUUGUCUGGUGGCUCUCUGCAAUUUUCACUUACUGCACAUACUCAGGUUGUAUAUUGUCCCGCACUCUAGAAUGACUCAGUAGACACUAUUGAACGCAUACCUUGGUGGAUGUUUAGAUCCAGAUCCCUGUAAUUAAAGUUUUCCGAGCAACUGACAAGAACUACAUGUGUACAUAUAAUAAUUAUCAUGUCUCAGAAAGAAGUUCUGCAGUCAGCCGUUUAAGCAGUUUGACACAUGUCUAACACGCUAUACACGCAUGCUAUAAAUGGCACAUCUCUUUUUACAGUAUAUGUGUUAAUAUAGUAUAGAGCUGGUGGUUGGGGCAUGUCCCAACAGACUUCACUUUGAUGUACGAACAGCCCAUAUUAAGCUCUUGGCUAGAUUUUUUUCCGCGCGACUAGCUUCUCUACCUUGGCUAACUCAUUGAAGAAGAGGAAUGUCUACGAACUGUCUGUUUAGUACGGACCAUGUAGUGUGACAAAUUGACAGACUUUAGGUUAGCUGCUUGCGUACAUCAUUUUAACUCCCUAAAUGGGUGAUUUCAAUUAUUUUUCAACAGGUUAUGCCCCUCCUCUUCUUGGACUGAUUCGUUGACCACGACAAUUAUGUGCUUUUUGUAACAGUAUUAUAAGACAUGUGUGUUGUUUCCCAAUAACUUUGUUGAUCUGUGAUGGUGACUCUCUGGUACUCAAAUACACCUGUAACGUGAGAGCAGACGCGGGGGGUGGUGGGUUAGAUCUAAUUAGUGGUUGCUCAGGGGAUUCAGUACAUAAAACUACACAAUUCGUUUAAGAGUCUCGAACCCAAACAUGUACAGUACUUUUGUGCAAGGUGUGGUGGUUUGUUACGGCCGAAAGUGACCGAAAGUGCUUGCCUGAGCUCACAUCACUAAGGACCUCUGCGGUCUGCUGCUUGGUCUUGUUUGGCCUUCAGAUGCCCAUGCGCAGAAAUGACUUGUGAGCUAUAAAUUAACCUUUGUUUACACUGAAAGUUUAGUAAUUACUUCUAUUUGUACCACUAGAAAAACGAACUACUUUAGACGGUGGAAUGGGAGUAAGUUUUCACUUCCAGUGUGAUUGUGGAGUAAAAGAAAUUACUUUCAGGUUUGGAAGGCUUGAUUUGUCUCAGGAUUAAAGAGUAUAGUGUCCGCUAUGUUCUCUCAUCUGUGGAUUACUUCAGUAAAGAACACCUUCCCUACGCUAUCACUGCUUUGUUUGUUUUGAUCUUGGUGAUUAUCUUUCCACUUGUAUUUCUUGUCAUCUAUCCAAUGCGUUGGUUUCAACGAGUUCUGAACAAGUUUAAAAUUCAGCGUCAACACGUUGAUAUGUUUGUUUACUGUUAUCAAGGUUACUACAAGGACGGGACAAAUGGAACUCGUGACUGUCGAUGCUUUUCUAUAACGUUCUUUCUCUCUCAUAUCAUUAUGUUUGUCUUGUUCGCCCUCUCACGAAAUAUUCAUUGCUAUCUCAUAUGUACCAUGUUUUUGUCAUCGUCCAGCUACUGGUACAGCCAUACAAAGAGCAGUUUCGUAUCUACAACUUAUAUAUUAAUCGAUAUUGUGAUGAUGUUGAAUAUUGUUCUGAUUAUGGUGCUUCAGCUUCAGCUAUAGCCUGAAAGCAGUUCAUUUUGUUAACUUUUCUUUUGUUCUUACCGGAAUGUUUUGAGUUCUUCCAUUUGUGUAUUUAGUAGCUGUUACUAUGUGGAGGAUAUGGUCAACAAAUUAAUUGCUUCAAAGUAUGUGUUAGACAACAUCGUAAUAUCGAUAUUGAAGAAAACGACACCUCUUAUAAUUUAAUUUUCCUGAUAGAAUGCUAUAGUUCAAGCGGGCUUAUUGCAAGGGGACAAUCAACGAUGCAUCUCAUACGGAACAGCUGCCUGAUUGUUUUGAGCCAAACUGAACAUUGUUGUGUAUUUUAAUAAGUGCACGUUUUAUAUGUACUGCCAUGCAUGUUCAUUUUCACAUACGGCUCUUAAUUAAGCUUUAUACAAUUAUACAACUCGAGACAUACAUUGUCAUUGUAAAUCUACAAAAAGUGAUGAUUGAUGAAUGACAAUUCAGUGAUUAAAUGAUCGCUUGGCCUGUGUUGGAUCACUAACAAUUACAGUUCAACGUUUGAUAUAAAAGUAGAAUGGGUGCAUUACGUAUUUGAGUGAGGGGUCGUGCGCAUUAAAUGACGGCCUCAGGCAAUUUUUCCCCUCAGUAUUUAUUAUUUAUGUUAUUUAUUUCUUGGGCUUUAUUCCCCCCUUAAAAAAUUGACAUUGCGGAUCUGCAAUUGCAAAUCGCCUCCUUUUGAAACACAUGGCGGUUUAAACCGCGGCGAAAAAUGUGAUGACAUAGACUGCACUAGACAGCACUAGAGCGCUAGUCCCAUCACAUUUUGACAUGAUAGCUUGUGCAAUUUUUUUUUAAACUGAACAUAAUUAUAUUAUUACAUGUAAGUUAAUUGUGAUAAAACAUAACACAAAAUUAAUGAUUAAACUGAAGAGAACUGCUGGCAUAGCGUACUCGUGAGUUCAUAGGGCAGGUCCUGCAAGUGCUCCACAUACAUGCACUAGUGAUGGCAUCCUCAAAGGCAUCGAUGUCGAGCUCCUCCGGAUCCUGUUCGGAUUAGAGCAGCAGCAAAUGUUGACCACGUCACGUCCGAUCUCAUUACCUUUGUGAAUGAGACUCAGAAUGAGAAUAAGAGAUGGUUUGUUUCUUCUCCCCCUCCCCACCACACAUGAUGAGUGACACACACACUUGUACACACACGUCGGCCCGUCAUCACUCCCCACGAGGCCCUCCAGAGGCACAGUGUUCAAGAGUAAAAAUAAUAAUAGUUAAAAAUAGGAUGUUGACAAUAAAACCAUAACAACACUGACUAAAUUUCCUUUUCGUCUCAGCGAGGGUUCCAAAUUCAUUGGGAGAAGACAGAUCAUUAUCCCGUGCCAGUUGAGUACGUCAACUAUUACGUCAGACUUGAUCAUCGAUCGCCCGAUCGUUAGAGAAAUUUUGCAUUGAAGAAGCCACUAUUCAUGACUUCUAUUCUAUCUGGAAUCACCAAACUCUUUCUCAGCGAGAUUGCCAAUCGGUGUUCCAAACUCUUUCUCAGCGAGAUUGCCAAUCGGUGUUGCGCCACUGUUUGCGGCAAGUUUUAAAUUGUUGGGGUUGUUUGGACAGUAGUUUCUGUGAGUUGGUAAGGAAUGGCUACUGGAUCCACACUUGCACUUUCUCUUUUCCUUUGCUCCCUUGACAAUCUCGACCUUUUCAACCAUAUCCUCAUCCUCUCCGCGUAGGUGUGGUGUUCAUGUUUAUUUGACCACAGUUUUCGUUGCUGUGCUUCGUAUGUCCUUUGUUUCUUCAACUGUAGCCGCCUCUUUUUUGCCUUUGUUGUUUUUAUUGAGUCGAGGACCUUUUUGCAACAGUGUGAAUGAAAGGCUACUAUACUGCUAUUGACUCGUAACAGCCUCGAAGGUUUACUGCCAAUAAGGUUUACUGCCAAUGGGUCUUAGUCGGUUGCACAUGCGCAUAAUUUUAAUUUUGGUUCUGUAUUAGAAAAUUGAUAAGUAAUUGACACAAGCAUCAGUGGCUAGUAUCCAGUUAAGAGAGGCAGUGGCUUCAACUCUUCAGCUUCUAGAUCGCUUUGUUCGUAUUGCGUUUUCUUUUCUCUUUAACUUUCCUUCAUACUUUUUUCUGUCUGAGGAAAUCACCAAAAUAGACCAUUGCUCGAAUGACGAGAUCCUCUUCAUUAUCUGAAACCGUUUCCGUCUCUGCUGAGGCACCUUCAAAGGUUUCACUUGUCACUGGUUGUAGAGUUGGCUCCGUUGCGACACCAUGGUAGGUUUCUUUCAGUAUAGAGAGGCAGUUUUAUCUCUUAGCUCGUUGUGCCUUAUGCUGGGGUAGCCUCCUCUUGGGCAUGAGAGAGCAUGUUGAAUAGAGAACGUCUGGCCACAGACACAGUGGGUUGGACCAUAUUGCAUAUUGCGUCACAAAAGGCCGUUUUUUAAUUACAUAACUACAUUGCUCGUGAAAAUGAACGUGGCGAUUAUUAUUAUUAUUAAGUUGCCUUUGCACGACUGAACGCAACUCUUUCAUGCUUGAUGGUUCUCUUGAGGCUGGGGUGUCACACCUACAACGUAUUACAGUAUUAGCACCACUUCAUUGUGAGCUAACAGAUAUAUAACAGGAACGCACCUGGUUUAGUUGAGACCAAGAACGAUGUGGGAAUGUUAGGAUUGGUCUCCGAGAAUUUACAACCACCCUGAGUGCCUCCAACAUAGUGGUUUUUGUCAUUGCACACGAUGAACGUCACGUGUACUCCAAACUUCUCAGCCCAGUCACAGUCACACUGAAAAACAAAAACAAAAACAAGUACAUACAAUGAACUUGUAGUAGGCUCUGAAAUAAAUAUGUGAUUUGUCCCCUCUCCUACUAACAGAAACCAUACAUUGUAAUAACGUAUCAAUCGUAUGUACUGUAUUACUAGCGAGUAAAAACAUAUGCAAAUUUUGCGAGGGUUGAUCAAUUCGCAACAAUAAAAUCGCAAAACUUACUAGUAAAUGCACACGAUCCUUGCCAAAUCGCAAUAGUUGGAUCGCAAAGGGUCAAAUUUUCUGCUGAUUUAGCUCAUUCGCAAAGGUUUUUCACCCGCAAAAUAUUCUAGUAAUACGGUAUACACUCUAACAGCGUAUUAAUUGUUACUUAGUUGUGAUAUAUAGAGUGGAAACUGCAUUUGGUGAACCACAUUUGAAAACAACAAGUAUGUAUUGUAUACACGGCAACUACAUAUAAUGCUCAGAAACCGGAUACUAAGGAAUUUAACCCACCAUGUAUAUACAGGAACUUGGAGGAGAUGUCUGCUAGAGAGACAGGAUUCACAACUGGACACACCCCUCUCCACUGUGGAAUACCCUCAAGAUUCGGACUACAUUCUAACACCAAUAGACAUAAAAUGUACUAAUGCGCAUGAAAAGGUGGAUGAGAUGUGCACAGAAGCCAGAGAGACCCUGAAACAAAUGGAACCAGAAGAGCUAGGAUCGUGGGAGAGAGCCGUAGAUGACAAGAGGUCAUCAUUCGAAGAACUUGUACUUUCAGUAUUCGAAACUAUUUCCCAGGUAAAUUGCAGCAUCUGUGUCAAAAGGGCGAUCUGUACAAGGGGACGUCCAAGGGAGCAGAGGGCUAUGCGCCAGGAUACUUUUCCAGCAAGUCAAAGAACAGAUAAAAUAGCUUUUAUGACUAAAUGUAUAAACUAAUAAGUUGUUUUGAAGCUGUAAGUAAAUGCAGAACUAUUAUUAUAUGGCAGCAAGGUGAA